rnacentral:rRNA from 1 species
UACGUAGGGUGCGAGCGUUGUCCGGAAUUAUUGGGCGUAAAGAGCUCGUAGGCGGUUUGUUGCGUCGGCCGUGAAAACCUGCAGCUUAACUGUGGGCCUGCGGUCGAUACGGGCAGACUUGAGUUCGGUAGGGGAGACUGGAAUUCCUGGUGUAGCGGUGAAAUGCGCAGAUAUCAGGAGGAACACCGAUGGCGAAGGCAGCUCGCUGGGACGGUACUGACGCUGAGGCGCGAAAGCGUGGGGAGCGAACAGG